UACGAAGGGGGCUAGCGUUGCUCGGAAUCACUGGGCGUAAAGCGCACGUAGGCGGAUUGUUAAGUCAGGGGUGAAAUCCUGGAGCUCAACUCCAGAACUGCCUUUGAUACUGGCGAUCUCGAGUCCGGGAGAGGUGAGUGGGAACUGCGAGUGUAGAGGUGAAAUUCGUAGAUAUUCGCAAGAACACCAGUGGCGAAGGCGGCACUCUGGGCCGAUUCUGACACUGAGGAGCGAAAGCGUGGGGAGCGAACAGG
rnacentral:rRNA from 1 species